rnacentral:rRNA from 1 species
AAACGGGAUUAGAUACCCCGGUAGUCCACGCUGUAAACGAUGUCUACUAGCCGUUGGAGGACUUGAUCCUUUAGUGGCGCAGCUAACGCGAUAAGUAGACCGCCUGGGGGAGUACGGUCGCAAGAUUAAAACUCAAAUGAAUUGACGGGGGCCCGCACAAGCGGUGGAGCAUGUGGUUUAAUUCGAAGCAACGCGAAGAACCUUACCUACUCUUGACAUCCAGUGAACUUUUGAGAGAUCAAUUGGUGCCUUCGGGAACACUGAGACAGGUGCUGCAUGGCUGUCGUCAGCUCGUGUUGUGAAAUGUUGGGUUAAGUCCCGUAACGAGCGCAACCCUUGUCCUUAGUUACCAUCAUUAGGUUGGGGACUCUAAGGAGACUGCCGGUGACAAACCGGAGGAAGGCGGGGACGACGUCAAGUCAUCAUGGCCCUUACGAGUAGGGCUACACACGUGCUACAAUGGCAUGUACAAAGGGUUGCCAAGCCGCGAGGUGGAGCUAAUCCCAUAAAGCAUGUCGUAGUCCGGAUUGGAGUCUGCAACUCGACUCCAUGAAGUCGGAAUCGCUAGUAAUCGUGAAUCAGAAUGUCACGGUGAAUACGUUCCC